AAAGAAAAAAAUUGGAAAUAUAGAAGAUUAGCAUGGCCCCUGCACAAGGAUGAUACACAAAUUUGUGAAGUGUUUCAUUUUUUU
rfam:Mus musculus chromosome 7, GRC primary reference assembly.